CACACAACACAUUUUCACUAUGACUUUAACAGCAUGUAUACUGUUUCUGAUGGUAUCACUGAUUUCUGGUGUUUGCAGUCAGACUCUGACCGAGUCUGAACCAGUGGUGAAGAGGCCGGGAGAAUCCCACAAACUGACCUGUACAUAUGCAGGAAUAUCAGAUAAUGAUGCUGAUAUCGGCUGGAUCAGACAAGCUGAAGGAAAAGGACUGGAGUGGGUUGCCUACAUUUCUGCUCCGAGUGGAAGCACUAAAGCUUAUUCCACAUCAGUCCAGAAUCGCUUCACCAUCUCCAGAGACAACAACGUGGACCAGGUGUAUCUGCAGAUGAACAGCCUGACAACUGAAGACUCUGCUGUUUAUUAUUGUACUUGAGAGCCACAGUGGCACAGGAAGCCACAGAGCCGUACAGAAACCACUACAGACAGUCACUGAUAGAAAAUAAAACCACUUUGUUCAAGUUGUUUUUAAAAUAACCCCGAAUUCAGAGUCCUUGAUCAAUCUCCACACUGUGCUGCUCUCUCAUCAGGAUGAUCAUCUCUUCUAGUGAGGCUGAGCAGAAAUGUAUCUGUAAGAACAAUAACAUUAUCUUAGCCUUUCUUGACUCAAUGUAGACUGAUGGCUUCCAAAUGGACCAAAUUUAAAGGAGCUCUAAAUUAAACAUUCAUCAUUGC